rnacentral:rRNA from 1 species
CGUAGUUGAUCCUGGCUCAGAGCGAACGUUUGCGGCGGGCUUAACACAUGCAAGUCGAACGAGAAUCCCUUCGGGGAGGAAAGUGGCGCACGGGUGCGUAACACGUGGAUAACCAACCCAUUGGUUUGGGACAACACCGGGAAACUGGUGCUAAUACCAGAUGUGUCGCAGCUGUCUUCAGGCGGUUGCGAGAAAGGCCCGCAAGGGUCGCCAACGGACGGGUCCGCGUCCCAUCAGCUAGUUGGUGAGGUAAAGGCUCACCAAGGCUACGAUCAGUAGCUGGUCUGAGAGGAUGACCAGCCACAUUGGGACUGAGACACGGCCCAAACUCCUACGGGAGGCAGCAGUGGGGAAUCUUGCGCAAUGGGCGAAAGCCUGACGCAGCCACGCCGCGUGAGCGAUGAAGGCCUUCGGGUCGUAAAGCUCUGUGGGGAGAGAAGAAUAAAGCCUGUGAAGAAUGGGCCUUGACGGUAUCUCCUUAGCAAGCACCGGCUAACUCCGUG